GAUGAACGUUGGCGGCGUGCCUAAUACAUGCAAGUCGAACGAAGACUGUAGUAAUACUGUCUUAGUGGCGAACGGGUGAGUAACGCGUGGGUGACCUGCCCCGAAGUGUGGGAUAACAGUCCGAAAGGAUUGCUAAUACUGCAUAAUAUCCAAGAGAUUAGAUGCUUUUGGAUUAAAGGAGUAAUUCGCUUCGGGAGGGGCCCGCGUCCCAUCAGCUAGUUGGUAAGGUAAUGGCUUACCAAGGCGAUGACGGGUAGGGACCUGAGAGGGUGCCCCCACAAUGGAACUGAAACACGGUCCAUACACCUACGGGUGGCAGCAGUAGGGAAUAUUAGUAAUGGGCGAAAGCCUGAACUAGCAACGCCGCGUGUGCGAAGAAGGCCUUCGGGUCGUAAAGCACUUUUUGAGAGGAUGAGGAAGGACGGUACUCUCAGAAUAAGUCUCGGCUAACUACGUGCCAGCAGCCGCGGUAAAAAGUGUGUGUA
rnacentral:rRNA from 1 species